GAGGGUGUAGCUCAGUGGUAGAGCAUGUGCUUAGCAUGCACAAGGUCCUGGGUUCAAGCCCCAGUACCUCCA
rnacentral:tRNA from 1 species